GUGGGUAACCUGCCCUAAAGUGGGGGAUAACAUUUGGAAACAGAUGCUAAUACCGCAUAAAACCUAGCACCGCAUGGUGCAAGGUUGAAAGAUGGUUUCGGCUAUCACUUUAGGAUGGACCCGCGGUGCAUUAGUUAGUUGGUGAGGUAAAGGCUCACCAAGACCGUGAUGCAUAGCCGACCUGAGAGGGUAAUCGGCCACACUGGGACUGAGACACGGCCCAGACUCCUACGGGAGGCAGCAGUAGGGAAUCUUCCACAAUGGACGAAAGUCUGAUGGAGCAACGCCGCGUGAGUGAAGAAGGUUUUCGGAUCGUAAAACUCUGUUGUUGGAGAAGAACGUAUUUGAUAGUAACUGAUCAGGUAGUGACGGUAUCCAACCAGAAAGC
rnacentral:rRNA from 1 species